rnacentral:lncRNA from 1 species
GAGACACAGAAGCAACUGCUGUCCCCAAGUGUUCAGUUCGCUCCGUCCCGCAAAUGCAGAAGCUCAGAUUCCUAUAGCAAAUCCCAUAUUCUAUGUCAUUCUUUUUUUUUUUGAGACAGAGUUUCGCUCUUGUUAACCAGGCUGGAAUGCAAUGAUGCGAUCUCGGCUCACCGCAACCUCCGCCUCCUGGGUUCAGACAAUUCUCCUGCCUCAGCCUCCUGAGUAGCUGGGAUUACAGGCAUGACCCACCGCGCCCGGCCUGCUGCUGUCAUCAUCAUGGGAAGAACAUACCUGGCUGGCCCAGAGAACAGACGAGCGAGAUAUGUGUCCCAGAAGAGCUGCCUAGCCAGUCUCAGCCCAGCUGCUCACAGACCAGACGGCAAGGUC